UAAACAAGUAUGAGUAGACCCAUCAUUUAAGCAAAAAUCUUUUCAUAAAGUAAUUUAUGUUAUAAUUUUUCUAUGUAAACAUAAUAUCGUAUAUUAGGUUUUUUAAUCUAAUAGAUUUUCAGAGAGGUGAAUGUUUGUUUAGUCAUAAACUUUUUCAGUUUUUGACCUUUUUUUCCUACCUUUUCAAAGAAACCAUCAGAAUUAUUUGAACUUCAAGAAGAUGAAGCCCUACGAAGAGUGCAGUAUCUCCUCCUGUCUCGUCCAAUUGAUUAUAGUUCAAGAAUGCUGUUUGUAUUUGCAACAUCAACUACAACCGUAAGCUCUAGAAACUUAAUCCAAACUCUUCUGUGCAUCUCAGCUUAACAUUUUUUUCCUGUUUAUUUACCAUGCUUGAUUGCAUUAACAGAUGGUUCAGAUAAUGCUCACAUACAUAUGUAUUCAAAGUCUAUCUCAUCUCCUAAGCAAGCAUUGUCUUUUGCACCAUGCUCCAUUUAGUGCUGGCCUCUGUAACAUCUGCUUAGCGUGCUGAAUGGUGUACCUAUUGACAGUUUCCACUGGCUGUCUGCAUUCACAGUGGUUAACUCCCUAGUCACUCCACAUUCCUGAAGCCAGGAGCCAAUCAAACUGGCCACGAACAAGUCUCCACCAAGGCCACGAACAAGUCUCCACCAAGGCCUAAUCUGGCUGCGUGCUCUGGUCAGACCACCCCUUCUGCCCACUAAAUUCUAGCUAGAUUGAACUUGCAAUUUCCCCUAACGGGGCAACAUGACCUUUAGCUUCAGGUUCUUGCCUAUAGAACUGUCCUCUGAGGCAGUUGGAGCAGAGAGAGGAGAAGGGGGUGGAGCCAGUAGGCAAAAGAUUCUCAGAGAAAAGGAAGAAAAGGAAGUCUGAGGUGCUGAUUUUAAAGUCCGUGACAAAAAGGAAAAAGCCUCCCCUUUUUUCUCUACAUAUAAAGACCUACGACCUAAAAAUGGUAUUCCAUGAAAGGUGGCUAGUGCAGCUCACAGCUCAGCUGUGUACAUGCUUUUCCUUGCAGUCUGCCUUAUGUGUACUUCCCAUCAAUUAGUAUUAGCAUGUAUUCAAAUGGGAAUUCACAUUAGUAUGAUCUACAGUAAUCCCUCCAUAUCUGUGGGAGGACUGGUUCCAGGACCCCCAAGGAUACCAAAAUCUGAGGACGCUGAAGUCUUAUAUAAAAUGGUGUCGU
rnacentral:sRNA from 1 species